GCUAGCCUUAGGACACCUGCGUUACCGUUUGACAGGUGUACCGCCCCAGUCAAACUCACCACCUGCCACUGUCCUCGGGGCGGGUUGCGGCCCGGCGCCACCGCAAGGCAAGUCAGGCGGCCGC